AUGAACGCUAGCGGCAGGCUUAAUACAUGCAAGUCGAGGGGCAGCACGGUGUAGCAAUACAUGGGUGGCGACCGGCAAACGGGUGCGGAACACGUACAGAACCUUCCUCAGAGCGGGGGAUAGCCCAGAGAAAUUUGGAUUAAUACCCCAUAGGAUAGUGGAGUGGCAUCACUCAGCUAUUAAAGAUUUAUCACUUUGAGAUGGCUGUGCGUCUGAUUAGGUAGUUGGUGAGGUAACGGCUCACCAAGCCGACGAUCAGUAACUGGUGUGAGAGCACGACCAGUCACACGGGCACUGAGACACGGGCCCGACUCCUACGGGAGGCAGCAGUAAGGAAUAUUGGUCAAUGGACGCAAGUCUGAACCAGCCAUGCCGCGUGGAGGAUGAAGGUCCUCUGGAUUGUAAACUUCUUUUAUCUGGGACGAAAAAAGGGAAUUCUUUCUCGUCUGACGGUACCAGAUGAAUAAGCACCGGCUAACUCCGUG
rnacentral:rRNA from 1 species